UACGUAGGCAGCGAGCGUUGUUCGGAGUUACUGGGCGUAAAGAGUGCGUAGGCGGUUUUCUAAGUUCGGUGUGAAAUCUCCCGGCUCAACUGGGAGGGUGCGCCGAAGACUGGAAGGCUUGAGUAUGGGAGAGGUAAGCGGAAUUCCUGGUGUAACGGUGAAAUGCGUAGAUAUCAGGAGGAACACCUGCGGUGUAGACGGCUUACUGGACCAUAACUGACGCUGAGGCACGAAAGCGUGGGUAGCAAACAGG
rnacentral:rRNA from 1 species